rnacentral:rRNA from 1 species
UACGAAGGGGGCUAGCGUUGCUCGGAAUUACUGGGCGUAAAGCGCACGUAGGCGGUCUUUUAAGUCGGUGGUGAAAUCCUGGAGCUCAACUCCAGAACUGCCUUCGAUACUGGAAGACUUGAGUCCGGGAGAGGUGAGUGGAACUGCGAGUGUAGAGUUGAAAUUCGUAGAUAUUCGGAAGAACACCAGUGGCGAAGGCGACUUACUGGACACAUAUUGACGCUGAGGUGCGAAAGCGUGGGGAGCAAACAGG